rnacentral:rRNA from 1 species
GUGUCAGCAGCCGCGGUAAUACGGAGGGUGCGAGCGUUAAUCGGAAUCACUGGGCGUAAAGCGCGCGUAGGCGGCUCUGUUAAGUCGGAUGUGAAAGCCCCGGGCUCAACCUGGGAACCGCAUCCGAUACUGGCGGGCUCGAGUGCGGGAGAGGGGGGUAGAAUUCCAGGUGUAGCGGUGAAAUGCGUAGAUAUCUGGAGGAAUACCGGUGGCGAAGGCGGCCCCCUGGACCGACACUGACGCUGAGGCGCGAAAGCGUGGGGAGCAAACAGGAUUAGAAACCCCGGUAGUCC